UACGUAGGGCGCAAGCGUUGUCCGGAAUUAUUGGGCGUAAAGAGCGUGUAGGCGGUUCGGUAAGUCUGCCGUGAAAACCCAGGGCUCAACCCUGGGCGUGCGGUGGAUACUGCCGGGCUAGAGGGUGGUAGAGGCGAGUGGAAUUCCCGGUGUAGCGGUGAAAUGCGCAGAUAUCGGGAGGAACACCAGUAGCGAAGGCGGCUCGCUGGGCCAUACCUGACGCUGAGACGCGAAAGCGUGGGGAGCAAACAGG
rnacentral:rRNA from 1 species